UUACACAAGUAAACUCUUUUGUUGCACUUUUUGGCAACCGGCAUUGCCCAAUCGAGCGGGUAAAUAUAACCAAACCUUGGAGCGCUUAGUUCUCUCCGCAUCUCCGCCGUGUUGUGUUGCUGAAAUGUAGCAGCCGCGUGUGUGGUAACUUUCCCCGCC